rnacentral:rRNA from 1 species
GACGAACGCUGGCGGCGUGCUUAACACAUGCAAGUCGAACGAUGAAGCCUAGCUUGCUGGGUGGAUUAGUGGCGAACGGGUGAGUAACACGUGAGUAACCUGCCCCUUACUCUGGGAUAAGCGCUGGAAACGGCGUCUAAUACUGGAUAUUACCUUUCAUCGCAUGGUGUUUGGUGGAAAGAUUUUUCGGUUUGGGAUGGACUCGCGGCCUAUCAGCUUGAUGGUGAGGUAGUGGCUCACCAUGGCGACGACGGGUAGCCGGCCUGAGAGGGUGACCGGCCACAUUGGGACUGAGACACGGCCCAGACUCCUACGGGAGGCAGCAGUGGGGAAUAUUGCACAAUGGGCGCAAGCCUGAUGCAGCAACGCCGCGUGAGGGAUGACGGCCUUCGGGUUGUAAACCUCUUUUAGUAGGGAAGAAGCGUAAGUGACGGUACCUACAGAAAAAGCACCGGCUAACUACGUG